rnacentral:lncRNA from 1 species
CCUAAUUCCCUGCUUUUUUCUGGCCUGAGCUUCCCGGGUCAGGACUUGAUUUGAGGAGGGGCUAAGGGAUUUGGCUAUCUCUGAGGACAGGGGACCUGACUGGUGUAGCUGGGACAUCCCUCCACUUCCUCCUUUUCCUCUAAUUGGUUUCCUUUCCCACGAAGCCUAUUGCUGGGUGUGGGAAGGGCCAGUGGAGGUCCAGGUGUCCCGUUUGCCAAGGCAUGGCUAAGUCACCUCUCAUUCUUACCUGUUCUGAACCCUUGGAUGCAUGGUUCACCCUUGCUGAGGUUCUAGGUCAGUAUUUGCAGAGCAGAUAAGGAUGCUUUACCUCAGCCAGUACUGAGAUAUGGGUGAGACAAAGUUAGGUGGGUGCUGGGCUUACCUUCAUGUCAGAUACCUUCUUUCUCCUGGGCAAGAGAUUGGCCCUGUAAGUAUUAGGGUGGCAAGAUGGGAACCACAGGAGGUCAGCAUGCUUUGCGGAGUGUGUGUGUGUGUGUGUGUGUGUGUGUGUGUGUGUGGCAGCCUUGUAGCCCCCAAAGGCUGUGAGAUCCAGGGUGAAACAUGCCUGGCCUCCCCCAGGAGCUUCCUGAGAACCACUUACCAGUUGCCCUAUGUGCCUCUGUAGGGGUGAUCUAUAUAUAUUAGAACCGAAGGUAGUACCAGUUUUGGGUGAAGGAGGCAGUAUAGGAGUGGGGCCUAGGAGUGUCUGGGCUUGGCUUGAGUAAGGGUCUUGCUUAUGGCAGUGUGAGGAAUGUGGCACUUGGAAACAGACCAAAGAUUCCUGUGGCUCACUAAUUGGGGCAGCAAAUUCAGUACAGCAGGCUGAGUUCCAUAGUAUUGGCAUCAUGUCCUACAAGUACCUGCCUGUUGUACUCUUUUGACCUGCUGUCUACUAUGACCACAUCCCUGUGGUCCACCUACCCUGACCCUACAAAGGUGGUUCAGCAUCCCUUUUCCCCACCCCUGCUUAUAAACACCUGCCACAUCGGGUCCCUUCCAAGGCUUUGGUGCCUAUCAGUCCUCCACUUGUUGUGCUCUGUAUGUCUCUGCCUGGUUGGAAACUUACUCUGAAUGUCACAGAUGGGCCUACAGGGGUAGGACUGCUUGCAUGGCCCCUGUGCCUGCAGUUUCAGGCAGCCCUUCGUCCCGUGGCAUCUGAGUCAGUUUUGAGGUUCCCUGACCUAGAGCCCCUAUGCUGCUCUCUUGGUUAGAAGGACCUGCCAGCCAGGGGCUGGGCUGCUGGUCCAUAUACCCUGCUUCAGCAGGUAUCCCACAUCCCCCUUCCCCAUGCCAGGCUGGAAGGUAGCUGUUCUGUACCUGCUUCUUGACCUUUUCAACCUCUUAUUUAGAGC